CCGACACUGGCUGCCAUUCAGUCAAGCCCUUCCCAGACUGCGAGCUCACUGGCGCCGCCGCAACUCCGCCCCUCCGCAGGGCGGGACAAGCUGAGCCGAAACCACACCUGCAGCUUCAGCGAUUGGUGGAGAAGUUCAAGUAGGCACUUUCUACGAGGGGAGGAGUCCAAUUAGUGGACUAGCCCAAGACUGAAACAGCUGAUUUUCGAGAACCCGCGCGUGAGCCCCGGAACCGAAACUAGCUUGAGGAGCCUGGAGACGCCAAGGGCUCCAUGGGAAGGGGUGGGACCGGAAUUUCGACGCCUUGGGAUAGGAAGAGGAGGGCUGAGAAACUUCAAAACUGAUCUUAGUUCAAGAAAGAAGUUACUAUUCAGUGAUCACCGAGGCUCUAACAAGUGGAGCCUAGAUUCGAAACCAAACCCUGUGACUUCAACACCCAAACAUUUACGUUCUUACGUUUUACUGUACAGCCUUCCUCCUGGAUAAAUCAGAUUAAAA
rnacentral:lncRNA from 1 species